AAAAAACCGGCAAAAAAAAAGUGAAAAGACACACUCACUCAGACACACACACUUAUAGACACACACGCACGCACAGGCACGCACUCACAAAGCUGCUACGUCAUAAGCGGUAGCAGUACUGCCGGUGACGUCAUCAGAGGGAGAAAUCCGCACGUCGAGUCGACAGACGAGGUUUUUGCUAAGUGAAGUGUUCGCUCCGGAACAAGGAGGUGUUUGCUGGCCCAGGUCUUUUCCCACUGCUGUCUGAGUCACGUGACUGUUGGAACCUUGAGGUAUUCCCCUACAGAACAAAGCUACCACUCACAGAGAAAACAUCCGCACGGAGCAAGAACCAAGGAAA